rnacentral:rRNA from 1 species
GAUGAACGCUGGCGGCGUGCCUAAUACAUGCAAGUCGAGCGAACAGACGAGGAGCUUGCUCCUCUGAUGUUAGCGGCGGACGGGUGAGUAACACGUGGAUAACCUACCUAUAAGACUGGGAUAACUUCGGGAAACCGGAGCUAAUACCGGAUAACAUGUUUAACCGCAUGGUUCAACAGUGAAAGACGGUCUUGCUGUCACUUAUAGAUGGAUCCGCGCCGCAUUAGCUAGUUGGUAAGGUAACGGCUUACCAAGGCAACGAUGCGUAGCCGACCUGAGAGGGUGAUCGGCCACACUGGAACUGAGACACGGUCCAGACUCCUACGGGAGGCAGCAGUAGGGAAUCUUCCGCAAUGGGCGAAAGCCUGACGGAGCAACGCCGCGUGAGUGAAGAAGGUCUUCGGAUCGUAAAACUCUGUUAUUAGGGAAGAACAAAUGUGUAAGUAACUAUGCACGUCUUGACGGUACCUAAUCAGAAAGCCACGGCUAACUACGUG